CAGUCGCCGCGGUAAUACGUAGGGUGCAAGCGUUAAUCGGAAUUACUGGGCGUAAAGCGUGCGCAGGCGGUUAUAUAAGACAGAUGUGAAAUCCCCGGGCUCAACCUGGGAACUGCAUUUGUGACUGUAUAGCUAGAGUACGGCAGAGGUGGAUGGAAUUCCGCGUGUAGCAGUGAAAUGCGUAGAUAUGCGGAGGAACACCGAUGGCGAAGGCAAUCCCCUGGGCCUGUACUGACGCUCAUGCACGAAAGCGUGGGGAGCAAACAGGAUUAGAUACCCCCGUAGUCCCUGUCUCUUAUAC
rnacentral:rRNA from 1 species